CAAAGAGAGAAGCAUGAGACUUUUCCAUUAUUGGCAGAGCUGAAAUAUAACCUUAAGAAAUAACUUUUAAAUUAAAUAUCAGGUAUUUAAUCCCAAGGAUUAAAAAAAAUGUGGAGACGUUUCGCUGGAACUGAGCUUCCCAACCCAAAAAGAGACUUUCCCAAGUCGCAGCCUACUGAUGGUAAUGGCGGGCGGAAUAUAUUUUUUCUCUGCGGUCUGCACGCGGAGAAGAGAGGUCCAACGGACUUUUAUGUCAAAUUUUCCUCUGGCGAGUUUGAUUAUGGUCAAUACUAAGAAUGCUAUUAUAAACAAAAAAGAUUUGAAAGGAAAAAACAAAAUAAAUAAAAGGAGUUUAAGACGCUUUAAUCGAAGGCGUUUAUCAGCCUCUUCUCCUAUUAAUAAAAGUUUUUCAGAGUCAUUUAUAAGAAAUUCUCUUACAGAACUUAAGCAACAAACUGCUCUUACUCAACCAUUGGCAAAAUCAAGUUCGGCCUUUCAAAGUACACGUCUUCUUGUUUCGAAUAUGAGAGACGUUACUAAUGAAGAUAUG